UAAUACGGGGCCUGCGAGCAUUGUCCGGANUUAUUGGGCGUAAAGGGCUCGUAGGCGGUUCAUCACGUCGGAAGUGAAAACUCGGGGCUUAACCCCGAGCCUGCUUCCGAUACGGGCGAACUAGAGGUAUGCAGGGGAGAAUGGAAUUCCUGGUGGAGCGGUGGAAUGCGCANAUAUCANGAGGAACNCCANUGGCGAAGGCGGUUCUCUGGGCNUUACCUGACGCUGAGGAGCGAAAGCGUGGGGAGCAAACAGGCUUAGAUACCCUGGUAGUCCACCCCGUAAACGGUGGGCACUAUGUGUGGGACUCAUUCCACGAGUUCCGUGCCGAAGCUAACGCAUUAGGUGCCCCGCCUGGGGGAGUACGCCGCAAGGCUAAAACUCACAGGAAUUGACGGGGCCCGCACAANCGGCGGANCAUGCGGAUUAAUUCCAAUGCCACGCGAAGAACCUUNCCUGGGGUUUGACAUAUACCGGAAAGCUGGCAGANAUGUUNCCCCCGCAAGGUCGGUAUACANGUGGUNCA
rnacentral:rRNA from 1 species